AAUCAACGCUGGCGGCGUGCCUAACACAUGCAAGUCGAACGAGAAAGUGGAGCAAUCCAUGAGUAAAGUGGCGACCGGGUGAGUAACACGUGACUAACCUACCCUUGAAUGGGGAAUAACCUUCCGAAAGGAGGGCUAAUACCGCAUAAAGUCCUAAGGAUGAAACGCCUAAGGACCAAAGGAGCAAUUCGUUUAAGGAGGGGGUCGCGGUUGAUUAGCUAGUUGGUGGGGUAAUGGCCCACCAAGGCGAUGANCAAUAGCCGGCCUGAGAGGGCGCACGGCCACACUGGAACUGAAACACGGUCCAGACUCCUACGGGAGGCAGCAGUGGGGAAUUUUGCGCAAUGGGGGAAACCCUGACGCAGCAACGCCGCGUGAAGGAUGAAGGUCUUUGGAUUGUAAACUUCUUUCGAUCGGGAAGAUAAUGACGGUACCGAGAGAAGAAGCCCCGGCUAACUUCGUGCCAGCCGCCGCGGUAAC
rnacentral:rRNA from 1 species